rnacentral:other from 1 species
UACGAUGGUAGCGCGGCUUUUCUGUUUGUGAGUAAUGAAGGAUGGUCAAUUUUCAAUUUGUUUUGGAGGAAUUCAAAUGAACACAGGUACAGUAAAAUGGUUUAAUGCAGAAAAAGGAUUUGGCUUUAUUGCAACAGAAGGCGGAAACGACGUAUUCGUUCACUUCACUGCAAUCCAAGGCGACGGAUUUAAAACGCUUGAAGAAGGACAAAAAGUGACAUUUGACAUUAUCAACGGAAACCGUGGUCCACAAGCGGCAAACGUUCGAAAAGGAUAAAUGUAGGUACGAAAAGUGGUUCUGCUUUCGGGCAGAACCACUUUU